ACCUACGGGGGGCAGCAGUGAGGAAUAUUGGUCAAUGGGCGGGAGCCUGAACCAGCCAAGUCGCGUGAGGGAUGACGGCCCUAUGGGUUGUAAACCUCUUUUGCCGGGGAGCAAAGUGCCGCACGUGUGCGGUUUGGAGAGUACCCGGAGAAAAAGCAUCGGCUAACUCCGUGCCAGCAGCCGCGGUAAUACGGAGGAUGCGAGCGUUAUCCGGAUUUAUUGGGUUUAAAGGGUGCGCAGGCGGCGAGUUAAGUCAGCGGUAAAAUUUCGGGGCUCAACCCCGACGAGCCGUUGAAACUGGCUUG
rnacentral:rRNA from 1 species